UUGUUCUCUUUUUUGUGUCAUUAAGGACUAUUCAGCAGCAGAGCACAUGGUCCAUGAGGAUUUGCCUGUUGCAGAAUCAUCAGUUGCUUUUCAACUGCCGGCAAGCUGAACCUGUUAAAACAUGGCAGGUUCCAAAGGGCCUGACUGCUGCUUGCUUUGUCGCCUACUUAAAGUCAGUUUACCCCCAAAUGGAGAGGAGAAACUUUCAGUUCUGCAAAGUUAACCGCCACAGGGUCCUGAUCUCCCUUGAGGAGAAAACCCCUGAACAAUUACGUUCCAGUGGAGUGUUGGGUCGUUCGGCUCUAUAUAUUCGCCCUGAGACAAGUGAUGAGGAUGAAGGAAUGCUGGUAAGUUUACUUAACUAAGCUGUUAUUAUCCGUGACAUACAGUAAAUGAAAUAGUACAAUAAACUGGCAAAUAGUAAAU
rnacentral:lncRNA from 1 species